GACGAACGCUGGCGGCGUGCCUAAUACAUGCAAGUCGAACGCUUCUUUCCUCCCGAGUGCUUGCACUCAAUUGGAAAGAGGAGUGGCGGACGGGUGAGUAACACGUGUGUAACCUACCCAUCAGAGGGGGAUAACACUUGGAAACAGGUGCUAAUACCGCAUAACAGUUUAUGCCGCAUGGCAUAAGAGUGAAAGGCGCUUUCGGGUGUCGCUGAUGGAUGGACCCGCGGUGCAUUAGCUAGUUGGUGAGGUAACGGCUCACCAAGGCCACGAUGCAUAGCCGACCUGAGAGGGUGGUCGGCCACACUGGGACUGAGACACGGCCCAGACUCCUACGGGAGGCAGCAGUAGGGAAUCUUCGGCAAUGGACGAAAGUCUGACCGAGCAACGCCGCGUGAGUGAAGAAGGUUUUCGGAUCGUAAAACUCUGUUGUUAGAGAAGAACAAGGACGUUAGUAACUGAACGUCCCCUGACGGUAUCUAACCAGAAAGCCACGGCUAACUACGUG
rnacentral:rRNA from 1 species